AUGGAUUUGAACUUGAUGCCUCAAAAGGAAGAACAUGAAACUAUUGAUUUGAACUUGAUGCCUCAAGAGGAAGACGAUGAAGGUAUUAAUUUGAAUUUGAUGCCUCAAGAGGAGGAACCUCAAGUGGCAGAGAAUGUAGUUAUGGAUUUGAACUUGAUGCCUCAAGAGGAAGACGAUGAAGAUAUGAAUUGGAUGCCUCAAGAAUAUGAAGGGAAAGAGGAUGCAGCUCAAGAGGAAGAGGAUGAAGUUAUGAAUUGGAUACUUCAAGAGAAGAGAAGAGAAUUGUCAGAUAAGGAGAGGCGUGGUGUUUACUUUGCCUUGCUGGUAAUCGAGCUCAGAGAUGGGUCUGUUCAACCAGACGACAAGCUGCUAGUCUCAAACCUGUUGGACAUAAGUGUACGAUUUGUUGAAAGAAUCUGGGAAUAG
rnacentral:rRNA from 1 species